GUAGGUGGCAAGCGUUGUCCGGGAAUUAUUGGGGCGUAAAGCGCGCGCAGGCGGUUCUUUAAGUCUGAUGUGAAAGCCCACGGGCUCAGCCGUGGAGGGUCAUUGGAAACUGGAGAACUUGAGUACAGAAGAGGAAAGCGGAAUUCCACGUGUAGCGGUGAAAUGCGUAGAGAUGUGGAGGAACACCAGUGGCGAAGGCGGCUUUCUGGUCUGUAACUGACGCUGAGGCGCGAAAGCGUGGGGAGCAAACAGGAUCAGAUACCCUGGUAGUCCACGCCGUAAACGAUGAGUGCUAAGUGUUAGGGGGUUUCCGCCCCUUAGUGCUGCAGCUAACGCAUUAAGCACUCCGCCUGGGGAGUACGGCCGCAAAGGCUG
rnacentral:rRNA from 1 species